AAUGAACGCUGGCGGCAUGCCUAAUACAUGCAAGUCGAACGAGACCUCCGGGUUUUUUCGCGUACGGCUGCGUAACCCGUCGGAACCUUCACUUAGGUUCGGAAUAACUACCCGACUGGGAUGCCUUUACGGGAUAAGGCCUACGGACCAAAGAUUUAUCGCCUUUGGAUGGGCACGCGUGGGAUUAGCUAGUUCGUAUGGUAAAAGACUACGAGGGCGACGAUCCACAACUGGUCUGAGAGAAAGGUUAGCCACACUGGGACGGAGAAACGGCCCAGACUCCUACGGGAGGGAGCAGUGGGGGAUAGUGGAACAUGGGCUAAGGGAUGAACCUGUAAUGACACGUGAGUGAUGAAGGCCUUAAGGUUGUAAAGCUCUUGUACCCGGGAUGAUAAUGACGGUACCGGGACAGUAAGCUCCGGCUAACUCCGUG
rnacentral:rRNA from 1 species